rnacentral:rRNA from 1 species
AUUGAACGCUGGCGGCAGGCCUAACACAUGCAAGUCGAGCGAGCGGCGGACGGGUGAGUAAUGUCUGGGAAACUGCCUGAUGGAGGGGGCUAACUACUGGAAACGGUCGCUAAUACCGCAUACCAUCAGAUGUGCCCAGAAGGGAUUAGCUAGUAGGUGGGGUAAUGUGUCACCUAGGCGACGAUCCCUAGCUGGUCUGAGAGGUUGACCAGCCACACUGAAACUAAGACACGGUCCAGAGUCAUACGGGAGGCAGCAAUAGGGAAUAUUGCACAAUGAGCGCAAGCCUGAGGCAGCCAUGCCGCGUGAUGGAAGAAGGCCUUCGGGUUAUAAAGCACUUUCAUCGGUGAGGCGUUACCCGCAGAAGAAGCACCGGCUAACACCGUGCCAGCGGCCGCGGUAAUUC